CCUACGGGUGGCAGCAGUGAGGAAUAUUGGUCAAUGGACGCAAGUCUGAACCAGCCAAGCCGCGUGCAGGAUGACGGCCCUAUGAGUUGUAAACUGCUUUUGUACGAGGGUAAACCCCGAUACGUGUAUCGGGUUGAAAGUUUCGUACGAAUAAGGAUCGGCUAACUCCGUGCCAGCAGCCCCGGUAAUACGGAGGAUCCGAGCGUUAUCCGGAUUUAUUGGGGUUAAAGGGUGGGUAGGCGGUUUGAUAAGUUCGGGGUGAAAUGUCGGGGCUCAAACCCGAAACUGCCGCUAAUACUGUUGGACUAGAGAAUAGUUGCAGUAGGCGGAAUGUAUGGUGUAGCGGUGAAAUGCUUAGAGAUCAUACAGAACACCGAUUGCGAAGGCAGCUUACCAAACUAUAUCUGACGUUGAGGCACGAAAGCGUGGGUAGCAAACAGGAUUAGAUACCCGGGUAGUC
rnacentral:rRNA from 1 species